CAGCAGCCGCGGUAAUACGUAGGGUGCAAGCGUUAAUCGGAAUUACUGGGCGUAAAGCGUGCGCAGGCGGUUGUGUAAGUCUGAUGUGAAAGCCCCGGGCUCAACCUGGGAACUGCAUUGGAGACUGCACGGCUAGAGUGCGUCAGAGGGGGGUAGAAUUCCGCGUGUAGCAGUGAAAUGCGUAGAGAUGCGGAGGAAUACCGAUGGCGAAGGCAGCCCCCUGGGAUGACACUGACGCUCAUGCACGAAAGCGUGGGGAGCAAACAGGAUUAGAUACCCCCGUAGUCCCUGUCUCUUAUAC
rnacentral:rRNA from 1 species